UUGUUCUCUACACAUUCAAUAUGGUAUCCAUACAGCGGGUAGCAUGCAAAGUAAUGGAGUUUUUUUCUGAAACAGAAGGAAAACUAGUUCCACGCUAUUGUUGCGGCCGAAACUUAUAGACGGGGCCAAGCUUUCGCCUGUGUCCAGCGGCCAGCGCAGAAGUGCCAUCCAACACGACCUUGAACUUUCUUGAACCAAAACAUGGCGGCCAGGAAGUGAUUUUUAGAAAUGAUCUUGAUGAUGUUUGCUGUUUUAUAAGCAAAAUGUGAAAUGUCAUCGGAUACCUUAUCAGCCCGUGGAUACAUAAGGUCUUGCUUGCUGCCCGCAGUUUGACCCAACAGCCACACAGAUGUAGAGAUGCAGUCACAGUCAGGCGUCGACAGCCUAGUGCCAUCAAACCUGGGUUUGGUGACCAUUGAGAAGUCUUCAGCACUCAUCCUAGUGACAGUCCUGGAUAUCUGGGGUGGAGGGGCACUUUCUGACUCUUCAGAUUGAAAGCCGAGGAACAUGGACUGCUGCCGCCAGCUGUUUGUUACACCGCCUCGACACACAACAGAGUACCGGGCACACCUGGAGCAGUCGCCACUGUAGCACUUGAGGGUUGCUUCGAGCACUCUAGGUCUUGCCCGCAGUAGGACGCAACAGCCACACAGAGGUAGAGAUGCCCUCACAAUCAGAUGUCGACAGCCCAGUGCCAUCCGCCUUUCAUCGUUGACUCCAAGUUGAAGGCCCUCUGUGUGUUUUGGCUUGACAAGUGACAAGUGGCAGUGACAGCACACCCAAGCCCAAGUCGAAGUUUCCAAAUUGACUUUGCCGGACUCUUGCAGUUGACAAGAUGAACAAACAGCACUGUGGGCUCUACCACGGAAGUUACGAGCAAAGGUUGUAUCACGAGGUUGUAUCACGAGGUUGUGUCACGAGGUUGUAUCACGAGGUUGUAUCACAAGGCUGUAUCACGAGGUUGUAUCACGAGGCUGUAUCACCAGGCUGUAUCACGAGGCUGUAUCACGAGGCUGUAUCACGAGGUUGUAUCACGAGGUUGUAUCACGAGGUAAUGACCGGUGCAUUGCCUUGUUUGUUGCUUCACACUGUUGACAGUGGAGGUUGAUUUGGGUCUUUUCAAUCAUUUUAGGGCCGAGACAAAAGUCUAAAUCUAAAUAUUUACUUUGCAAUAACAAAUUUUGCUUCUCCCCCUUGCAAACAAAUGACUGCUUUCUGUGUUUUUUGUGAUCCCCCAUGUAACAUUUUGCAAAAGCAUCACAAGUCUAUGAGAGAGAUUUCUUCCUCCUUGGCAGGUCACCUGCAUCACCUGAGUUAGCAGCUGAAAACUCACCUGCACAUCUGGAUGCACAGUCUAAAGAAAAUCUAUUUGCCAAAUUUUGUUUAUCUUGUUUGGCUCUAGCCGGCAUCAUAUCCACAACAAAUUUAGAAUUUUUAAUAAACGUUUUUAAUAAACGUUUGAUGCCGUGUAUGAAGAAAAGUUUGUGGGCAAGCAUACAUUUCACCUGCUUCAUAAAUUUCAAUGUGCGCUGCACUGUCAGCAACUCUUCCACAAUUUGGUCUUUCUUUAAUUCCCUGAAACACUGCAGUUCACUGUUUUAAUUUCCAAUUGAUUCUGACAUAUGCACAUCGGAUGUGCAGUGUGGGUUGUUUACACAAGAAAUAUUGUCAACUAAACUGUGCUUUGAACAUAGUUUGGGUUUUGGGUUUAAAGCCAAAGUUUGGUGGUCACUAGCCUUGAUCUCAGUGGCCACGUAGGUUACUUGAGUGGCUGGCUGAAAAGGGGUUUUCCUAAGUCGUGAACACAGUGAUUGUUGUACAUUGCAUCAGGUGAUCAGCUUACCUUAUUUAAAUUUGCUCCCCUGUAUUUAGUUACUUCCUUAUUUCCACCCUCCUGGCUCUCAUGUCUUUUGUGUUCUGAGAUUUUAUAUCAUCACCAACUCUGUUGGCAGCUUUCUGCAUGCCUGAACGGGAUGGUGGAGGUAUAUCGGAGCUCAUGUGCAGGACGCGGAAACUCUCACUUCAAUAGGACAUUUUGAGAGGCCUAUCUGUAGUCCAGUAUUGGCUUUGGAAGAUGGACGUCCCCUUCUCACCUCACCUCACCACCCACUACCUCCUUGUACAGUGUACGUACUUCAACAGUUUCAGGGAACUCUCAUCCUCCUUGGGGGUGUUUUCCUUCCUUGGCCUAAACAGAAUACAGCUCACAUGUCUUGCCUGAUGACCAGUUCAUGUCAACCUGAUGACACAGCUCCAUGAGAGUCAUGGUGUUAGGGAACCAGGGAUAGGGUACAAUGCCCCUUUUAGAGUCUUGGGUUUAGUGAACCAGGAAUAGGGUACAAUGUCCCUUUUAGAGUCUUGGCGUUAGGGAACCAUGGAUAGGGUACAAUGCCCCUUUUAGAGUCUUGGGGUUAGGGAACCAGGGAUAGGGUACAAUGCCCCUUUUAGAACUCUUGGGGUUAGGGAA
rnacentral:lncRNA from 1 species